AUUCCAUGAUGAGGGCACUUUCGUAAUAACUCUUUGUGCCUUUCCCAUGCCUCAUACAAGGACUCAUCAUCCAUUUGUUGGAAGGUAGUGAUGUCGUUCCUCAAUUU
rnacentral:snoRNA from 1 species